rnacentral:lncRNA from 1 species
CAAGAUCCAUCUUAGUCUAAUCAAAGAUAUAGACUUGACCAACUACAACUAUUGAGAAUUGGUUAAGAGAAGAAUUGAUCAAAUUAGAAUUGCUAUUAAUUAGAUUUGAUCAAUUACUAAUAUAGUCCAUUAUCAAUGAUUUCUAAUCCUAGUUCUAAUCCAGUUAAAUGGACUUGACUCGAGCUAACCCAUAAACUCAUGAAUUAUAAAAUUUAUGCCUU